rnacentral:rRNA from 1 species
UACGGGGGGGGCAAGCGUUGUUCGGAAUUACUGGGCGUAAAGGGCGCGUAGGCGGCCUUCUAAGUCGGACGUGAAAUCCCUCGGCUUAACCGAGGAACUGCGUCUGAUACUGGAAGGCUUGAAUCCGGGAGAGGGAUGUGGAAUUCCAGGUGUAGCGGUGAAAUGCGUAGAUAUCUGGAGGAACACCGGUGGCGAAGGCGUCGACAUCCUGGACCGGCAUUGACGCUGAGGCGCGAAAGCUAGGGGAGCAAACGGG